rnacentral:rRNA from 1 species
UAGGGAAUCUUCCGCAAUGGACGAAAGUCUGACGGAGCAACGCCGCGUGAGUGAUGAAGGUUUUCGGGUUGUAAAGCACUUUUUGAGAGGAUGAGGAAGGACGGUACUCUCAGAAUAAGUCUCGGCUAACUACGUGCCAGCAGCCGCGGUAACACGUAGGAGGCAAACGUUAUCCGGAUUUACUGGGCGUAAAGCGCGUGUAGGUGGUUUGGUAAGUAGAGCGUGAAAGCUCCUGGCUCAACUGGGAGAGGUCGUUCUAAACUGCCGGACUAGAGGAUGGUAGAGGGAGGUGGAAUUCCGGGUGUAGCGGUGGAAUGCGCAGAUAUCCGGAGGAACACCAGUGGCGAAAGCGGCCUCCUGGACCACUCCUGACACUCAGACGCGAAAGCUAGGGUAGCAAACG